rnacentral:lncRNA from 1 species
AAUGUGUUCGGAACAGAGGUCAACAGCUGUUACUGCUCUGUGACAUUCUGGAGAUGUGGACAGAUGUAUUCAGAUUGACCUUCCUUAUUCAAUGAUCAAGUGAAUGGACCUUUUGUCAUGGAGCUAUCCUGAAGCUCAGAUCAGCACUGCCUGGGUUCAUGAUGUAUCUCUCUUGCUGACAGUACACAAAUUCAUGAUCUGGUCAGGAUUAAUUUCUCCAGGAUGAUGUCACCACUACACAAGUUUUGCAUCUUCUAUUGUCUGGAUCUAUGUGAAUAUAAAGUCAGCAGGGAAGUAAUAAGAACCACCUCAUAUCCUGGAGUAAAGGAAGACUUUGCAAGUCACACAUAGACUUCUGCUGAAUCUUUAUAAAGUUGGUGGCUGAAGGUCAGAUUUGCCUAUACAGAAGUUAAAAUAAUUCACCUUUAAGGGAGGAGUACCACCUUCUGAGGUCCUGAGUUGAUGGCAGCAGACAGAACAUCUCUGGAUGACCUGGUUCUGGUACCAGUCCUACUACAUAUUAUUCACCAGAAAAACAGACCAAAGUUCUCAUCAUAAAAAAAAAAAAAAAAAGGAGAUGAGGGCUAAACCAAUGAGGAAGAGGAAACACAGGGAAGAUAGUUAAUGCUUCAAAAAUGACAACAAACUUAGGAGUCAUCAGCUCAUAAAAUAUGAGCCAUAAAUUGGAAUGAAAUCACCCUGGGAAGAUAUAUAGAGUGAGAAAAGAAAUAAGACUGAGAUCUGGGCCGGGCGCAGUGACUCACGCCUGUAAUCCCAGCACUUUGGGGGGCCGAGGCGGGCGGAUCAUGAGGUCAGGAGUUCAAGAUCAGCCUGACCAAUAUGGUGAAACCCCGUCUCUACUAAAAAUACAAAAAAUUAGCCAGGCAUGGUGGUGAGCACCUAUAGUCCCAGCUACUCAGGAGGCUAAGGCAGAAGAAUUGCUUGAACCCAGGAGGUGGAGGUUGCAGUGAGCCAAGA